rnacentral:rRNA from 1 species
UACGUAGGGGGCUAGCGUUGUCCGGAAUCAUUGGGCGUAAAGCGCGUGUAGGCGGUCCGGUAAGUCCGCUGUGAAAGUCGGGGGCUCAACCCUCGGAUGCCGGUGGAUACUGUCGGGCUUGAGUACGGAAGAGGCGAGUGGAAUUUCCGGUGGAGCGGUGAAAUGCAUUGAGAUCGGAAAGAACACCAACGGCGAAAGCACUCUGCUGGGCCGACACUGACACUGAGAGACGAAAGCUAGGGGAGCAAAUGGG